rnacentral:rRNA from 1 species
AUUGAACGCUGGCGGCAGGCUUAACACAUGCAAGUCGAGCGCGCGGCGGACGGGUGAGUAAUGUCUGGGAAACUGCCUGCUGGAGGGGGAUAACUACGGGAAACGGUAGCUAAUACCGCAUCCCAUCAGAUGUGCCCAGAUGGGAUUAGCUAGUUGGUGGGGUAAAGGCACACCAAGGCUACGAUCCCUAGCUGGUCUGAGAGGAUGACCAGCCACUCGGGAACUGAGACACGGUCCGCACUCCUUCGGGAGGGAGCAGUGUGGAAGAUUGCACAAUGGGCGCAAGCCUGAUGCAGCCAUGCCGCGUGUAUGAAGAAGGCCGUCGGGUUGUAAAGUACUUUCAGCGGGGAGGCGUUACCCGCAGAAGAAGCACCGGCUAACUCCGUGCCAGCAGCCGCGGUAAUUC